GCGUCAGUAUGUAAAGGUAUUCUAUCAGACUUGUGUCGGGGACUAGGAGGCGUCAGUAUGUAAAGGUAUUCUAUCAGACUUGUGUCGGGGACUAGGAGGCGUCAGUAUGUAAAGGUAUUCUAUCAGACUUGUGUCGGGGACUAGGAGGCGUCAGUA
rnacentral:lncRNA from 1 species